UUUGAACAAAAUUGUGAUCUGGUUUCAAAGAUAGGCAGUAUGGUUGGGAAAGUAUUGUUCAACAAUACUUUUUUAGCUCAUCCCAAAUGGUAAAUAUGUUAGUAGACAUAAACUUCACCCACACCUUUGCUUUAUUCCUUAGAUAUGAUGAAAAUAUCUGCAUGGGAAUAUCACCUCCUUUUAAUGGAGUAUCCCACAAUUUUUCAAGAACGCAACUACAUGAUUACACGGUCUUCUA
rnacentral:lncRNA from 1 species